rnacentral:rRNA from 1 species
AAAAAACAUAGGUAGCCGCAAGGCCGAAAGGCUGUGAACGGCUAUUGAAUCCUGGCCAGUGCGGGUACUCGAAAGCCGGGUUCAACCGGCAUAAGGGCCCGUAAACGCCGGGAGUAACUCUGACUCUCGAGCUAAAGGGAGUCGUUAAACCCGGCUGUAUGCGGGGAAUUCCAGAGCCCCCAACUACCUUAAAAGGUAACAAUGUUGGGGGUUAUGAGGAAGACCCGCAGGAAACCCCUGCCAAAGUGGUAGCCAUGCUCACCGAUUUCUCCGACAUAAUCGACCCAGAGGAACUUCCUAACAGGCUUAGCCAGCUCAAGUGGCACAUAACAGGGUUCGUCGACGGAGACGGAAGCUUCCCGAUAAUCCUUUCACCCGACGGUGGAAAAAAAUUCGGCUGGCUAAUCCAGCCAAGGUUUGAGGUGGAGCUUCGAAGCAGCACAGACUCCGAGGUCAUGCUCAAGGUGAUCUGCAGAGCCAUGCAGAUUAGGCCAAAGAUAUUCGCCGGCGAAAACUACGUCAAACUCAUCGUUACCAACAGGAGGAUGCUGCUGGAGAAGGUGGUUCCCUUCUUCGAAAAAUACAGGCCAGCGGUCAAGUGGCUGGACUUCAAAAUAAUGAGCGAGGUUGCGCAAGACCUUCAGCAGAAGAGACAUCUAGAAUACGAUGGAUUCAAGGAGAUCAUCAGAAAAAUAUACUCCAUCCCACGGGACGGAGAGACAAGAAGGAAGUGGAGGUUCGAGGACAUAAUCAAGGACGAGGAGCCGCCGCCUCCCCGUGAAGACACUAGGACAAGACUGCCCAGCGGACUUGUACCGCUCAAACACUACGUCGCAGGCUUCAUAGACGCCGAAGGCUCACUCGGAUUCGACGUAAACAGGGAGACAAGGUCGAUAACACCGUAUCUCACGAUAACCAGCUCCGAGACAGAUGUUCUGAGGAAAAUUAGAUGGCUUCUAGGCUGUGGAGAAAUCAGCAGAGGAAGGCUUCAGAUCUACGGCGUCAACAACAUCGUUAACAGGGUUGCACCGUUCCUCGACAGACAGAAGCUAAUAGCAAAAAGGACAACCUACAAGAUGUUUAAGCAGAUACUUGAGACGGUAGUCAGAGGCGAUCACAAGAGAAACUUCCAAGAAACCGUUGAACUCGUCAAUAUGUUGAACAAAACUGCAGGGGGAUCCCCAGAGACCAUACGCCGGGCGCCCUCAGCAAAUGGAGGGGGCGAAGAUAUGGUCCAGCACCCGUAAAAAAGGGUGUUGCUUAAGGUAGCCAAAUGCCUUGUCGGGUAAGGGCUACGGUGACCGUUGGAGGGGAUGCUGGAGUGGAAAGCUUAUCUUUCCUUGGUAAAUAGUGGGUAGGUUAGGUGUUUGAAGACAUGGAUGAAGACUACGCGUACCUGCUCGGAGCCAUUCGUGAUGCAUGUGUCUACUUGCCUGAGUAUGAGCUAAAGUUUGUCCAGAGAGAAGUCAGGUGGCUCACCGACGUUAUUAAACCCAAGAUGCAACGAGUGUUUGGUCUUGAUAAACUCAAAGUGAGGAUGAGAAGGGACAGGCUUUUUGAACUCAAAGCAAACUCGAAGAAGAUGGUUGAGAGAUUGAUUCGGGAGGCAAACGUUGACCGAAGACCCAUGGAUACGCCGUAUAUAGUAAAGCAGAUGCAGUUAGACAUACAAUUACACUAUGUUGCUGGCUUCUAUGACGCUGAAGGCGAUAAGAGAGGAGAUAGAAUAAGAUUUUGGCAGUCUUGGCAUCAAGAGGGUAACUGUCCACCGCUGGAGUUUAUAGCCUCAGUCUUAGCGGAUGCAGGUAUUGAAACACGUCUUUAUAGGCUUGGCAGAAGAAAAGGCAAAUUGUUUGAGUUUUGUCUAGAAAUUUCUCAAAUUUAUCAGAAAAAAAUGUUUUAUUUGUUGAUCCCACUCCAGCAUCCGAGCCUGGUCCUCCGAGCCCCCCGAGAGUUCCGACGUGCAUGAAUGGAUCAACGAGGGCCCCGCUGUCCCCGCCUGGAGCCCCGUGAACCCACGUAACGUGGGCGAACAGUCCACGACCUCCCAACGGGGAAAGAAGACCCUGUGGAGCUUUACUGCAGCCUGUCGCUGGGAUGUGGACGGAUGUGCAGAGCGUAGCCGGGAGCCGUCGAUCCCCGCCUCUCCGGGGGUGGGGGGAGGCGCCCCUGUAACACCGGCCACGUCUGUUUGCAUCUCUCACCGGCGCGGAAGCGCUGGAACAACGGCAGGUGGGCAGUUUGGCUGGGGCGGCACCCCCUUGAAAAGAUAUCGAGGGGGCCCAAAGGUCGGCUUAGGCGGGACAGAAACCCGCCGUGAAGUGCAAGGGCAAAAGCCGGCUUGACAGGACCCUUGAAAGCAAGGGGUCCUGGGGGGAAACCCAGGCCUAGCGAUCCAUCGGCUCCCACCGGUGGGGGCCGGUGGUGACAGAAAAGUUACCCCAGGGAUA